AAGUUUGGGGAAAAGAUGAGGCCAGGAAGAAUAUUCUCCAAUGCUUCCUCCCCAUCCUAGCCCCCAGAAAGCAAACAUACUAGAUAACUAUGAUUCUCCAAGCUAGGAAAGAGAAGACAACAUUUGAAGAACAUAGCCUACAAAAGUUAGUCACCACAGAAGGCCCGUCCUGUUCCCCGCCUCUCCUCCAGCCAUGAUAAGGAACAGAAGCCAUAGAACCUCAGAUAAAUAUGGAGACUUAAGAGUAGGAGAAACCCAUGCUCACCUCCUGCCCAUAACUCUGAGAGAGUAGAUUCGCAGAUGGUCCCCACAGCCCUAUGUUACAGGAACCAUAGAGUACAGAAUUAUGCCAAGUUUGGUGCUAGUUUCUCCAAAUAUAUUUUCUGAAAACAACUUUGUAUUAUUAGACUGUUUUUUCUAAGGGAAGAAAUGAGAUUUAAGUAAUAAGUCUAUGAUCACACAGCAAGUACAUAGGAGAGGUGGAAAACAAAUUCAACAAAGCAGCAGAUGGAAAAAAGAAGCUCUUGGUAGUCUUCAGAGUUCUACCUUCAUACAACUUAUGCAAAGGUAAGAAAAAUGAGACCAGCAGAGGUUAAAUGGCUUGUCCAAGGUCAUAAGGGAAAGAACUGAGGCUCAUGAAGGUUAAUAUACUUGCAACAUGGACUCUACACAGAUAUACAGAAUGAUAUAAAUAAACAAGCAAAUAAAGAAAUGGGGAAAAAGCAAACACUCUUUUUGGAUUAUUCCUCUCCCAUCUAAUAAAUGAUGAAGGAUUGAUGAAAUCAGAAAAAAAAAAUCAACUUUUGGCAAGUAUCGCAGUAUUCAUUAAGGGAACAGUCAUCAAUAGAUGAUAACACUAGUAAGUGAAACAUUGAUGGAACUAAGAUAUUUACCUAGACUCAAAAGUUCUGUCCUAUAAGAUAAUUAUUAAUUACAAAUGAAUAUACAAAUCACUUUAUGUUUCUUCUGGCCUCAUGCCAUGAGAAGAACACAAUACCAUCUCUAGAAUAUCCCUGUAAAACAUGCAUAACCUGAAACUAAUCAUAAGAAAACCCAAAGAUGAGAGACAUUCUAAAAUACAUCUGACUUGUUCUCUUCAAAAAUGUCAAUGUCAGGGCCGGCCAAGUGGCUCGUUGGUUAAG